rnacentral:rRNA from 1 species
UACGAAGGGGGCUAGCGUUGUUCGGAUUUACUGGGCGUAAAGCGCACGUAGGCGGAUUGUUAAGUCAGGGGUGAAAUCCCGCAGCUCAACUGCGGAACUGCCUUUGAUACUGGCAAUCUCGAGUCCGGAAGAGGUGAGUGGAACUCCUAGUGUAGAGGUGGAAUUCGUAGAUAUUAGGAAGAACACCAGUGGCGAAGGCGGCUCACUGGCCCGGUACUGACGCUGAGGCGCGAAAGCGUGGGGAGCAAACAGG